rnacentral:tRNA from 1 species
UUCCUGGUGGUCUAGUGGUGAGGACUCAGCACUUUCACUGCCAGGACCCUGGGUUCAAUUCCUAGUCAGGAGG